rnacentral:misc_RNA from 1 species
CUCUGUCUCUCUCUCUCUCUCUUUCUCGGUCGCUCAUGGAGGUGUCCUUUACUACUCUCCCUAGAGAAAAAUCUCUAUCUAUCUUGCCCAUGGCUACAACAAGUCUGCACCAGAUACUGCCUACGGCGAGGAUUUCACUAGCGGGAUUCUCUCACACACCUAUGCCAACUUUUGCAAGUAUAACUCAAGCUCAGGCUAAGGGGAUGCCCGCAUCUCAGUCGCGUCUAGACCAGCCAGACAGGUUUCCUAAACUCAAGAAAUUCCCCUUUCAUGAAGGCAAGGAAGUGGAAGAAAUAAUUAAAGAGAUGAUCAAGGUAAAGGACGAGCCAAAGAUUAAAUAUCUAGACAUUGAAAAGGGUGGUGGCGAUACUGUAUCGGAUCUGAAAAAAAAGGUGAGGAUCCACUUUGAUUUCUAUGAUAGUAAUCAAAAUCGAAAACAUGGCAAUUGGCAGAAUGGUCAGAAGCGACGACCAGAAAAGAUUAAACUUUGCAAGCAUAAGCUUGGCAAAGGAUUUGAGAAAGGAAUCCAAGGCAUGCGAGAGGGGGGAAUAAGAAGAAUCGUUGUUCCUCCGGAAUACUCAUAUGAAGAUGUGAGUGUCGUCUCUGAAUUCUAUAUUUCUUCUAUUUUAGUAUAUUUUAAUAUAAUUUUGUUACAUCUAUUGUCUUUCUCAUUUAUAAAUAUAUAUUCUUAUACAUAGGGCCGUCAAGUAUUCCAAUAUAUAUAUAUACUUUUUUCCAUGUGGGAAUGCAUAUGAAUACAUAUGGGAAUAAAGUAAAUUAGAUGUAGGUUUAGGCAUCAAUAAGG